AGACUGAUUCACCACCUUCCCCAUUCAGACUCCUCUUGAUCUUUCUGCAUUUUGAUAACUUGUUGACAACAAAUGGGUCCAGAUCCAGAUCUCGAUCCAGAUCACCAAGAAGACGCAGUUACUCCAGGUCACGCAGCAGGAGUGGCAGCCGACCCAGGUACCACACCCGGAGUAGAACCAAGAGCAGGUCCUCCUCCCCACCCAGGAGACGAACUAGAAGUAUGAGCAGGGAAGGAAGUUCAAAGCAUGAUGACCAUUAGAAGUCCAAACAAUGACAUUUUGUAUAUCAUUUUCAUUUAUGACACAUCAUUAUUUUUGGCAAUCAUAGAUAUUAAUGUUAAAGUGAGGAGAAAUUGUUUCAUUAACAUGAUUCAAUUUUGAUUUUAAAUCCAUGGACAUAGCUAUGAUUAUGUUUAAAGUACAUCACAAAUAAAUGUGCAUCAUGACAACUUUUUGGUGUUUACUUGAUCACAGCAUUUAUGUUGUUUGUUGUUUUAAAAUGUAUGCAUUUCUGUUAAUAUUCGACAUAUUCACACCUUCAAAUUUUAUUUAGGACAUAAAGUGUGAUCAAGUUGAUAAGAGAUUUUGAAAGAACAUGAUGUUUUAUAGUUUAAUGUGCAAGAUGCAAGUAAUGUUAUAGAUGAGAAGGUUGAAAAAGAGGAAAUGCAGUGAGAUAGAGUUUGUAUAUUUUCACUUGUGUAUUUUUUUCAAUGUAAUUGAAUAAAAAAGUGUAAAUAGU
rnacentral:misc_RNA from 1 species